CCAUGAAUGCGAACGUAUGCCCUUCCUUUAUCUGUUGUUGCUGAAAUCGAUCGAGAUCGAAAGACGGAUACCUAAUCCUCAUGCAGGGAUGCUAGUGCUGGAGCGACCUGCAAAACAAAUCCUCAAACUAGAGGUUGUGGCUCCGAUGAGGGCCUUUCGAUGCUUAAGUCAGAAAAGUAGAGAACAAAGGAAUAGCAAUGAGUUCUCUGAGAAGGAUUC
rnacentral:lncRNA from 1 species